rnacentral:rRNA from 1 species
UACGUAGGGUGCAAGCGUUAAUCGGAAUUACUGGGCGUAAAGCGUGCGCAGGCGGUUUUGUAAGUCUGACGUGAAAUCCCCGGGCUCAACCUGGGAAUUGCGUUGGAGACUGCAAGGCUAGAAUCUGGCAGAGGGGGGUAGAAUUCCACGUGUAGCAGUGAAAUGCGUAGAGAUGUGGAGGAACACCGAUGGCGAAGGCAGCCCCCUGGGUCAAGAUUGACGCUCAUGCACGAAAGGCGUGG